AUCAAACAGAAGAUUAAGACAUGUUGAGAGAGGUUCUAACCGAGGCACGUCUAUUGCUGGUUGAAAACUAUUUCUAACCCCCCUCUUAGGCCUGUGUUUGGCCCUGGCCUUCGAGAAUUUCUGGAAUGACUCCCUUUGGGGUAAAGCC